GGGGUCGAUCGGUUUCGACAGCGGAUACUGAUUGUAGGGAAGCGUGCCGAGAAUGUGAGGUCAUCUCGAUAACGUUCUUCACAAAACAAUAAGUGCUAAACAUAACCGCACUGACUUCGCUCUGGCUGCCUAAGCGCCGAGCCUUUAAAAGUCCGUCAGCUCCGGGGGUGCUUCUACCUCGGUUCCUGGCGUUGUUUAAGAAGCCACUGGUUGUCACCUUGGUUACUGAGGCGACAGCGACUUUUUAGUAACUGAGCCUGUCAGCCGCUUGUUUGCAGGUAAGGCUGGGGCUGAGAAAUACGCUAUGCAAACUGCGCACGGAGAAUACUACUGCUGGAUUCGUUGGACCGGGGUUCGAUUCCCCGCGGCUCCACCA
rnacentral:tmRNA from 1 species